AAAAACAUUAUCUAAAAAAUUAAUUUUUAUUAAGAAUAUUUAAUUAAGUUAUAUUUAGUAUUGAGUAAAAAGAGAGGAAAAAUGAUAGGGGAAGGGGGGAAAAAUAAGACAAUUCUCUUAUUAGGAUUUGUAUGGUAAACCAUUUUAUUUUCUGCCCAAAUUGAGGAAAAUAGUGACAACAGUGUUAAUUUUUUCUAUUUUCCCUCUGUGCCCUUCUUUCCUAAAAUAAUUAUUUUUUAAUAUAAUUU
rnacentral:misc_RNA from 1 species